CAGCAGCCGCGGUAAAACGAAGGGUGCAAGCGUUACUCGGAAUUACUGGGCGUAAAGCGUGCGUAGGUGGUGGUUUAAGUCCGUUGUGAAAGCCCUGGGCUCAACCUGGGAAUUGCAGUGGAUACUGGGUCACUAGAGUGUGGUAGAGGAUAGUGGAAUUUCCGGUGUAGCAGUGAAAUGCGUAGAGAUCGGAAGGAACAUCUGUGGCGAAGGCGACUAUCUGGGCCAACACUGACACUGAGGCACGAAAGCGUGGGGAGCAAACAGGAUUAGAUACCCCCGUAGUCCCUGUCUCUUAUAC
rnacentral:rRNA from 1 species